rnacentral:lncRNA from 1 species
ACGACGCAGCUUAGCCAGCUCCUCGGGAAAGUAUUCUUCUUCAAGAUCAACAAGCAACAAAGUUCCUGGAAACAUAAAAGCACAACUAUAUGAACUCUAUGCUACCAGUACAAUAUAUAGAAGAAAGCCUACGAAAUAUGAUAAAAGGCAAUGGCAGAACUGCCACAUGCACACACCAGCAAUCCUGCACAUGAACUAAACAUGCUCCGUGUCUCACCCAGGAAAAAUUUGGCCGCACCCCGGUUUGGAUGACCCUUGCAGUGCGCCAAGCAAGAAGUGCCACAAAUGUGCAACAUACAAGAGUGAAAAUGGCACUAGCAUCCAAAUAAAAUAAAGCGAUGAAGUCAUCAGUGGGAACAGUAUGGGAAUGACAAGGGAAUGACA